rnacentral:rRNA from 1 species
UACAGAGGGGGCAAGCGUUGUUCGGAAUUACUGGGCGUAAAGGGCGCGUAGGCGGCCUCCUAAGUCAGACGUGAAAUCCCUCGGCUCAACCGGGGAACUGCGUCUGAUACUGAGAUCUUGAGUUCGGGAGAGGUGAGUGGAACUGCGAGUGUAGAGGUGAAAUUCGUAGAUAUUCGCAAGAACACCAGUGGCGAAGGCGGCUCACUGGCCCGAUCUGACGCUGAGGUGCGAAA